rnacentral:lncRNA from 1 species
GCUGCAGAGCUGGAACUGACUGCUGAACGUGCCAAGGUCCUGAUUAAAGAUUCGAUAAUUGUCGAUCUUGGCCGUCAGCGCGAAAAUGUUGAGGCGAAUCUUGACUCCUGUCGGACACAGAACUCCAUAUUUUCCGACCGACUGGGUGAGAGUCAUGAAGAGAACAAGAAGCUGUUGAAGUCGCUGGAUGAUAAUCAGAAAUCGAUAACGCGACUGGAAGAAAUGGACCGGGC